GCGGCGCGCCACUCCACUUCAGGCAGCACGCAGUAUUGUCUCACUGGCGCGGCGUACGCAAAAAAAGGAGGAAAAAACCGCCCGGCCGGCGGUGCGGCAGUGUGGAGACCUGCCGUAAUGCGCUCUCCCCUUGCGGGACAGCGCGAGGUUCCGCGCGCGGAGGCGGCGGAGCUGCGGCCGAACACAUGGCA
rnacentral:ncRNA from 1 species